rnacentral:rRNA from 1 species
AUGCCGUGCCCCUUCUCCAAGUCCCGCGCCUCUCCUCUAGCUCCCUGCCGUCGUCCCCAGCGAGCAGUUCUGCUAGCAGCCACCAGCAGGACAGCCACGCUCGCGCCUCUCCUUCCUUUCCCUUUCUUCUCCUGUUGCCUUUCCCUCUCAUGCUCUCUCUCCCAGGUACGCCCGUGCAGGAGCCGCAAGGAGGAAGCCGCCAUCGCCAAACUCUUGCCGUGCGCGCCUGGAUCCGCCAUCCCCGGCUCCUCCGCGCUCGAUUCCCGUAGCUGCGCCAAGUCCUCGUCCCGCUCGUCUCCGACACCAGCGCCAUCCGCCCCGGCAACCUCGACGUCGAGCUCAAGUAGGAACUGCUUCGCGCGCCCCUGUCCCCGCGAGCGUCUGAGGCUGCGCCCUCCUCCUCGUCCAUCCCCUCCCCGUCGCCUGCAUCUCCUCCGGCAGCGCCGCCGUGCCCGCACGUCUAUGGCGAAGCUCCGGGAGCUCCGACGCCCUGGGGACCCGCGCCCCCGCCGGACCUCAUUCCUCCGCAUCCGGCCACGCCGGCGGCAACCCUGCCUCCGCCGCCUCGCCAAGUUUCGCCGCCUGAACCUCCCUGCAUCGCCAUGGCCGCCGGCCUCUGUUUUCCCCGCUCUUCGGUUUCGUUCUGGAGUUGUGAGGAUUCGUUCGACUACGCCCUUUUGUCUUCUUCAUGGACUCGUUCUUCUUCCUUGCGGGAUUUCAGGCAAGAUGACCAUACCCUCGGUAUCACUUCUAUCUUUGCUUGCUAGUUGUUCGCUCUAUUGCUUUGCCGCGCUACCUACCACUUGUUAUAUCAUGCCUCCCAUAUUGCCAUGUCAAGCCUCUAACCCACCUUUCCUAGCAAACCGUUGUUUGGCUAUGUUACCGCUUUUGCUCAGCCCCUCUUAUAGCGUUGCUAGUUGCAGAUGA